ACUACGGGGGCAGCAGUGGGGAAUAUUGGACAAUGGGCGAAAGCCUGAUCCAGCCAUGCCGCGUGUGUGAAGAAGGCCUUCGGGUUGUAAAGCACUUUCAGUGGGGAAGAAAGCCUUGGGGCUAAUACCCUCGAGGAAGGACAUCACCCACAGAAGAAGCACCGGCUAACUCCGUGCCAGCAGCCGCGGUAAUACGGAGGGUGCGAGCGUUAAUCGGAAUUACUGGGCGUAAAGCGCGCGUAGGCGGUCUGAUAAGCCGGUUGUGAAAGCCCCGGGCUCAACCUGGGAACGGCAUCCGGAACUGUCAGGCUAGAGUGCAGGAGAGGAAGGUAGAAUUCCCGGUGUAGCGGUGAAAUGCGGAGAGAUCGGGAGGAAUACCAGUGGCGAAGGCGGCCUUCUGGACUGACACUGACGCUGAGGUGCGAAAGCGUGGGUAGCAAACAGGAUUAGAUACCCUGGUAGUC
rnacentral:rRNA from 1 species